AACCCAGCACUCAACCACUGCGCCACCGGGGAGGCUAUCUUCUUCUGUAAAAAUGCUGUUAUGGAAGUUAUUGCAGAGACUUAGGGAGCCAAUCUACAGAUGACAUGUUCAAGGACUACGUCCUGGGGCACUCCUGCAAGUCAAGGAUAUGAAGAGGAGCUAGAGAAGGCACCCUCAGAAGGAACAGUCAGUGAGGCAGGAAAGGAGGAAACCUAGCAAGUCUCCAAUAGGAGAGCAUGUUUCUGGAAGAGACUGGAUAUCACUGCUGCUGACAGAUCAAAGGGAUGAAGAAGGAGGCUUGGCCACUUGGUGGGUUUAUCAAAGUGAAGACCAUGGGUUUAUCAAAGUGAAGACCACGGGGCACCUGUUCUGGUGAUAUGGUGGGGUUGAGUGCCCGGGUAAGUAACUUUGUGACAGAGGGGAGGAGAGAAAGUGGGUACAGUGGUGAAUGGAGGGGACAAGACCAUUUCAAUGAGCUUUUUCAGGGAAUUCUGGUAAGAAGCGGAACAAGGAAAGGAGUAGUGACUUUUGUGGGCGUCAUCAUCACCAAAUUGCAAUAUUUGAAAAUAUUGGCUGACUCCAUUCCCAAGCUCCAAAAAGUAGAGGAAUAAGAGAAGGAGAAAGCAAGAGUCUGCAGUGUAGACUGUCCACCACGGUUCAGCACUAAAGGAAAUCACAUGAAGCCGAUGUCUACAUUCAACAGUACCACACUCUUUCCUCCUUCCUCUUGACUCUCUUCUAUUUUAUCUUACUGUUCUCUUCAUGCAUUUCUUAUUCAUUCCUUCCUUCAUUUCACAAACACAUAAGUCCCCAUACCAUUGAAAUUUGCCUCUACAACAGGGAUUAGCAUGAAGCGGUUAAUGAUUAAGUUCCCAUGGGCACUUGGUGUAUGUAUGUGCCAUGAUAGCCUGGUCAGGAGAAGUGAAUAUUCAUCACUAGUCUCUAGAAAGGCAUUUCACAAUGUGGGUAUUAUAUCCUUACCUUGUUCUAUAUAGAAAAAUAAACUUUAGGUGAAUUAAACUCUAAAUAUAAAAGACAAAGACAUAGCUCGAUUAGAAGAAAAUGCAGAAUGUAUUUUCGUGUGGUGUUGGAAUGGAAAACGAUUUCUUAAGGUACCAAAAAGUGAAAACCAUACAGGAGAUAACUGAUAGACUUAAUGAUACCACAAAGAUUUCUGAUGCCAUCAGCAAAGUUAACCAGUAAUAGAUUUGGAGGGGACCAAGUGGCAACAGCUAACAAAUAUUUCAAAUAUACAGAGAAAUCCUGUGAAGCAGUUACAUGAAAGGAAAGAAGAUUAUUGUCACAGAUCCUGUUAAUAACCUGCCCACAUCCCUUGGUCCACUUCUGAGCUCACCUGCUGCUGUGAUGGAUCUUUGGUUUCCUGCAUCACAUGGCUUCCCACCUCAGGGGAACCCAAAUUGAAAAGCUG